UACGUAGGGUGCGAGCGUUAAUCGGAAUUACUGGGCGUAAAGUGUGCGCAGGCGGCCGAGCAAGUCGAGUGUGAAAGCCCCGAGCUUAACUUGGGAACUGCGCUCGAAACUACUUGGCUGGAGUGUGGCAGAGGAAGGUGGAAUUCCACGUGUAGCGGUGAAAUGCGUAGAGAUGUGGAGGAACACCGAUGGCGAAGGCAGCCUUCUGGGCCAACACUGACGCUCAGUGCACGAAAAGCGUGGGGAGCAAACAGG
rnacentral:rRNA from 1 species